rnacentral:rRNA from 1 species
AUACGUAGGGGGCGAGCGUUGUCCGGAAUGACUGGGCGUAAAGGGCGCGUAGGCGGCCUGUUAAGUCUGGAGUGAAAGUCCUGUUUUCAAGAUGGGAAUUGCUUUGGAUACUGAUGGGCUUGAGUGCAGGAGAGGUUAUCGGAAUUCCCGGUGUAGCGGUGAAAUGCGUAGAGAUCGGGAGGAACACCAGUGGCGAAGGCGGGUAACUGGACUGUAACUGACGCUGAGGCGCGAAAGUGUGGGGAGCAAACAGGAUUAGAUACCCUGGUAGUCCACACUGUAAACGAUGAAUGCUAGGUGUAGGGGGUAUCGACCCCUUCUGUGCCGCAGUCAACACAAUAAGCAUUCCGCCUGGGGAGUACGGCCGCAAGGUUGAAACUCAAAGGAAUUGGCGGGG